AAAUACAUACUUUGAGUUUUACAAAAGGACACUGAAAAACUACUUUGGAUUCCCUAGUGUUCACCACUCCCUCUAAUUCCCUUUAAGGUUACCUGCAAAACAAGUAGAGUCAUGAGUAAUCUAGCAUUACUCAAUGAGCUCGGAUUCCUCAAGAAAACGUUAGUCUAAUCCCCACCCAUAAUCCCCACAUGAAUAACAUGAAUAAUCAGAGUACACAGAGAAGGUAGUAAACCACACAAACACAAGCAAGAAAUAACGUUUCUU
rnacentral:sRNA from 1 species